UUUUUUUUUUUUUUUGUUUGUUUGUUGGUUUUUGUUUUUUUUUUGGGGGGGGGUAGGGAAGGAGAGUUGGGGAUGUGGAACAAGCCACUCUUGCAGGAAACCCUGUUGGCCCCCUUUGGAAAUUUUCUGCACUCCUUGUAAGUGAUGCUCCGGUCUGACGGGUAAUUUAGGCUAGAUUUACUUUACGGUUCCUAGCAUUUGUGGAAAGCACCUAUUGCUAAUCUGGUUUAUUAAAUUCGCGUGGUUUAAAUCCUCUUAGCGCCCCUACAUCUGUUAGAACAAUUGACGCCUUGCUACAGGGACAAAUAACUUGAACCUUAAUCUUGUUUGUAACUUUAUUCAAUGUUUGUUUGUUUGUGCGCUGAGUUCAAGUAUUUCGGAGGGAUGCCAUUGUGUUCGCAAAUACAGGGGCUACACUUCCAGGCAAAGCUCCCCGUGGAAGGGAUAAGGAUAUCGCGGAACGGGACGACAAAUUGUGCAUAUGCGUUUCAUCGUGAACUAUCGUUCUAGGAAACGUGUCAUUUACUGAAGAAAGCAAUCUGCCUGUUAAAAUGUGGCUGCAGGAUUACAUCACCGGGACCCCGUAGUAAAAUCCACGGGGAUUUUCCUUUUUGUUUUGCUCGCAGGGCGAAGUGCGGGGUGUAAACAGUACCUUUUCCUUUUUAUAAUUGGGAUUAUGCCACGGUUUAAACUCCUACCCCCAAAAUCGCUCUUUACCACACUUUCCUUUGCCUUUACGCUUAGUUCUCACAACUUGAGUCACUUUUUAUGCGUUUUAGCCACUUUAAGUCCUCGACGGCGGGACUUCAGAGGUGCCAUCUCGGGUGCCCCUGGGCAAUGCCGCACAGUCCCGGUUCUGCAGGUCGCUGGGUUCAGUCUGCGCCCUUUCGGUCCGCUAAGCCCUCCCCCCAGCCACCGCCGAUGGUGUACGUCGCUUUUCACCCACCUACAAUUUUUCUAAAACCUUUCAAUUCAGUCCGUAAAGUCAGUGAUAGCCCAUCACGGUGAACUUAUCUUGACCUCGACUGCUGUGUGACUGAGAUCUUUGGGAGCUGGGUUAGGAGGAGAUUCAUGGAUUUACCUGCGAACUUCCUUUUUAACUCUCUUUCUUCCACCCCUCCCUCUUCUUUUAAAGAAAAAAGAACCCCCCUCAACUCCCCCACGAAGCCGGAGCGAUGCGCGGUCCGCCUGCCCCUGUUCCGCCGUGUCUCCGCUCGGCGCGGGGCUCCGACCGCCGCUGCCGGGUUCCCCGCGGGAUGCGGCGGUGCCACCGGCAGCCCUCUAGCGCUACCUGGCGGGGCUCCAGCACCAUCCCGCUGCCUCGCAAGGCCCCGGUCCCCGCGCAGCUCCAGGGGCGCGGAGCGGUGCGGAGCACUGUGGACCGCUUCGAGCCUCCGCCUCCCGCGCGGCUCCGAGCGCUUGGUUUGGCGUUGCCACCUCCCCGCGUUCCAUCGAGCAGGCGGGCUGCGGGCCGCGGCGGGAAGGGGAACGGGGGGACGCCUUCGCCUUGGUGCGCGUGAAGCGCUGAUGUCAGACCAGAGCGCGGCUUUUUUUAUUAUGUCUUAGGCUGGGAGGUUUGUAGAAGUGAAGCCCAUAAACAGCCAACGCGCCUGUUUCCAUCAUAAACCAGGGAGAGUAAAAUACCUGCCAGGGCUCCCCGCUAACACAGUGCAGCUGCUUCCACCGAGGCAGCUAAAAACCUAGUUUGCCUUUGUUGGAAGAAGCCCGAAGCAUUAACAAAAUCCAUCUUUCCAAUAUGACAUCCUAACAAAAAGGACAGUUAGGGCAAACUAAAUCGCUUUAGUGGGGUAUCAGAGCAUCCGCGAAGGCUCCAAACUCCUCUCAGAGCUCUGCUCUCGCGCACUUAAAAUAUUACCUUUUGUUCUCCAGCUGCCUAUAAAACUCCAGAAGAGGAGCGCUCUCCUUUUUACACUGGAGUUCUCGGUCCGGAGAGAACAAUAUCCUCCUACCUCCUCUGAAAUGAUAAGGAGAACCUCACAACACACAGAUGAAACCCUUCGGGAGGAUUGAGGACCUGAGUGGGGAGACAGCCGAGCCCUAGCCCACCUGCGAGUGCGGAACCCUCACAGAAAGCCGCAACACACAAGCGGGGCUUCGUCCCCCUAGAAAGAAGGAGACAAAAGCAGCAAUAAACGUGUGUGUGAUCCUUUCUUAACGGGUUGAAGCCCAAAAGAAAAAGCAAAUUGGAUGCAGUAUUGGGCAUUUGAUGCCCGUCCGUCCCCGCCCCCCACUUUAUCAGGGUCUGAUUAUUCGCUUUAACUGUAAGCGCUGAUUUGUUAUUAGCUGGGUUCAGGCACCUCUCUAAUUUUCUCCGAGAGCCCAUUUGAAGGGUAGAAAAACUGAGGAAUAAAUAAAUGCAUUUACACUCUAAAGUCUCUUCGAUCAAGCAAACAGUGAAAUUAGCAAAGUAACUUUAUUUCCCACCCCUGUCGGGAGGAUGAGGGUAUUUUAAAGGCGUUGGUAAGGUGGACCUGAGGUGUGGGGGUGCCUGUCUUCUUUCUUUUUUUUUCUUUUUUCGUUUGGUUUUUUUUUUCUUUUCCCCAGAGAUACGUGUGUUUAAAGAGAUGCUGAAGACAUUUCUGAGUUCAUGGGGAAGAAGGAGAAGUUGGUUUGGGAAAUGGCAGCACACCGGGCAGGAGAUGGUUUCCUCAGUGUGUGGCAAGUGUUUCUUCAAGAAAUUCAUCAGCCCUUCUACAAUUACUUCGAGCUCCGAGGGAAGAGAGCUGCCAUCACUUUCUCACAUCCCAAGGUGUUGCACGGAGGAGAGAAGAAAAGGCUGGAGCAUUUAAUUAUCGGGGGGGGGGGGGGGGGACAAGGGGGAAGUUGGGGGUUAGCGGAGGCUGCGGGAAGCGGUCCCGAGCUGAUACCUGGAAAAGAAAAACCUGCAAGGGUGUAUCUGGGAGACCUGUGCCACUGAGAGAUGGGGGAAAGUACCCCAUCUCGUGCAGUAAUUAGUCUGAACAAUAAACAUAAUUGGAAUAAAA
rnacentral:lncRNA from 1 species